CGCCCGGCCGGAUCCCGUGGGGGGAAUCCGAAUCCGGGACAUGGAAAGCGCCCCGAUCGCCGGC
rnacentral:ncRNA from 1 species